AUUGAACGCUGGCGGCAUGCUUUACACAUGCAAGUCGAACGGUAACAGGUUAAGCUGACGAGUGGCGAACGGGUGAGUAAUGCAUCGGAACGUGCCCGGUCGUGGGGGAUAACGCAGCGAAAGCUGCGCUAAUACCGCAUACGAUCUAAGGAUGAAAGCGGGGGACCGUAAGGCCUCGCGCGAUCGGAGCGGCCGGUGUCAGAUUAGGUAGUUGGUGGGGUAAAGGCUCACAAAGCCAACGAUCUGUAGCUGGUCUGAGAGGACGACAAGCCACACGGGGCGUGAGACACGGCCCAGACUCCUACGGGAGGCAGCAGUGGGGAAUUUUGGACAAUGGGCGAAAGCCUGAUCCAGCAAUGCCGCGUGCAGGAAGAAGGCCUUCGGGUUGUAAACUGCUUUUGUACGGAGCGAAAAGGUCUCCUCUAAUACAGGGGGCUCAUGACGGUACCGUAAGAAUAAGCACCGGCUAACUACGUGCCAGCCGCCGCCGUAA
rnacentral:rRNA from 1 species